UACGUAGGGUGCGAGCGUUGUCCGGAAUUAUUGGGCGUAAAGAGCUUGUAGGCGGUUUGUCGCGUCUGCCGUGAAAAUCCGGGGCUCAACCCCGGACUUGCGGUGGGUACGGGCAGACUAGAGUGUGGUAGGGGAGACUGGAAUUCCUGGUGUAGCGGUGAAAUGCGCAGAUAUCAGGAGGAACACCAGCGGCGAAGGCGGCGCUC
rnacentral:rRNA from 1 species